AUGAACGCUAGCGGCAGGCUUAACACAUGCAAGUCGAGGGGCAGCAUGACACGGAGAUUCGUCGAAGUGUUGAUGGCGACCGGCGCAAGGGUGCGUAACGCGUGAGCAACUUGCCCGUUUCAGGGGGAUAACCGGUGGAAACGCCGACUAAUACCCCAUAGCAUCAACUUCAGGCAUCUUUAGUUGAUUAAAGAAUUUCGGAAACGGAUAGGCUCGCGUGACAUUAGCUAGAUGGCGGGGUAACGGCCCACCAUGGCGACGAUGUCUAGGGGUUCUGAGAGGAAGGUCCCCCACACUGGAACUGAGACACGGUCCAGACUCCUACGGGAGGCAGCAGUGAGGAAUAUUGGUCAAUGGUCGAGAGACUGAACCAGCCAUGCCGCGUGAAGGUCACGGCCCUAUGGGUCUUAAACUUCUUUUGUAAGGGAGCAAUAAGGUCUACGUGUAGACUGAUGAGAGUACCUUACGAAUAAGCAUCGGCUAACUCCGUG
rnacentral:rRNA from 1 species